rnacentral:rRNA from 1 species
AUUGAACGCUGGCGGCAGGCCUAACACAUGCAAGUCGAGCGAGCGGCGGACGGGUGAGUAAUGUAUGGGGACUGCCCGAUAGAGGGGGAUAACUACUGGAAACGGUAGCUCAUACCGCAUACUAUCGGAUAACCCAUAUGGGAUUAGCUAGUAGGUGAGGUAAUGGCUCACCUAGGCGACGAUCCCUAGCUGGUCUGAGAGGCUGAUCAGCCACACUGGAACGUAGACACGGCCCAUACUCCGACGGAGGCAGCAGUGGGGAAUAUUGCACAAUGGGCGCAAGCCGGAGACAGCCAUGCCGCGUGUAUGAAGAAGGCCCUAGGGUUGUAAAGUACUUUCAUUCGGGAGGCGUUACCGACAGAAGAAGCACCGGCUAACUCCGUGCCAGCAGCCGCGGUAAUAC